rnacentral:rRNA from 1 species
UACAGAGGGUGCGAGCGUUGUCCGGAAUCACUGGGCGUAAAGGGCGCGUAGGUGGCGACCCAAGUCGAUGGUGAAAGCUCGCCGCUUAACGGCGAGUCGGCCACCGAUACUGGGUUGCUCGAGCACUGUAGAGGCUCAUGGAAUUCCGGGUGUAGCGGUGGAAUGCGUAGAGAUCCGGAAGAACACCGGUGGCGAAGGCGGUGAGCUGGGCAGUUGCUGACACUGAGGCGCGACAGCGUGGGGAGCAAACAGG